UGUUUCCUUUUUCUUUUUAAUCUUUUCAAUUGUAUUCCCUGUUUUGUCCACUUUUCUAGUUUGAUUUUGUAAAACGGUAAACACUGAAGGCAAUAAAAUUGAACUUUUAGUGUUUUUAUAUGAAAAGUACAACAAAGUUCUCACACAACAAACGCCAUCCAAAAAUACCUCCCAGAUCACUCAUUUUGAUGGGGAACGCUUCUCAUUGAAAUCAGUUUGAUUAGCAUGUGAAUGACUGACUGAUAUGCGUUGUGGUUGUAAUGUAGUCGUCAGAACAAAUGAACCAGAUAGCAAGCUGAGUAAUUAAGAUUCUGCGUUGGCUCGACUGGAAUAAAUUUUCAGAGGGAACAACACUGUCGGGAAGUUCCGAAAUCAUUGUAAUGUUCAAACGACAGUCGACGAGGGGAGUGUCACCGCAGUGCAAGCUGUAUAUAAAUAAUCGUAAAUAUAUAUAUAUAUAUAUACAUAUAUAUAAAUCAUUUCUAAGUAAGAGACAGAAAACAAGUAUUCUAGGUGAAUAUAACAAUUAAUCAUUAAAUUCAAUAAAAUAUUUUUCCUAGCUAUUGUACCAUGAUGCUUUGGAAUAAAUACUUCCGCUUAUAAUUUUUUUUGCCCGUUGAAAAUAAUUAUCUCCCUUUACGAAACACGCCAAAGCAACCAUCAGGUUGUUCACUCUCAACAUUCAAAAUGCCAAGACAAAUAUCGGAAAUAAAGGAAUUUUUGUUGACUGCGAGAAGGAAAGAUGCAAAAUGUG
rnacentral:lncRNA from 1 species